rnacentral:tRNA from 1 species
CAAAAUGUAGCUUAAUUAAAGCUUUUCGCUUACACCGAAAAAAUGUCCGAUAAAUACGAACCAUUUUGA